rnacentral:rRNA from 1 species
UACGGAGGGGGCGAGCGUUGUCCGAAGUUACUGGGCGUAAAGCGCGUGUAGGCGGGUCGCCAAGUCCGCUGUGAAAGCCCGAGGCUCAACCUCGGAGGGUCGGUGGAUACUGGCAGUCUUGAAGGUGCUAGGGGGAGAUGGAAUUACCGGUGUAGCGGUGAAAUGCGUAGAGAUCGGUAGGAACACCAGUGGCGAAGGCGGUCUCCUGGGGCAUUCUUGACGCUGAGACGCGAAAGCUGGGGGAGCGAACGGG